rnacentral:rRNA from 1 species
GAGUUUGAUCGUGGCUCAGAGUGAACGCUGGCGGUAGGCCUAACACGUGCAAGUCGAACGGCAGCACAGUAAGAGCUUGCUCUUACGGGUGGCGAGUGGCGGACGGGUGAGGAAUACAUCGGAAUCUACUUUUUCGUGGGGGAUAACGUAGGGAAACUUACGCUAAUACCGCAUACGACCUACGGGUGAAAGCAGGGGAUCUUCGGACCUUGCGCGAUUGAAUGAGCCGAUGUCGGAUUAGCUAGUUGGCGGGGUAAAGGCCCACCAAGGCGACGAUCCGUAGCUGGUCUGAGAGGAUGAUCAGCCACACUGGAACUGAGACACGGUCCAGACUCCUACGGGAGGCAGCAGUGGGGAAUAUUGGACAAUGGGCGGCAAGCCUGAUCCAGCCAUACCGCGUGGGUGAAGAAGGCCUUC